GUCAUAAUGAAUCAUAAGCUAAAUAUGAGUCAACAGUGUAACACUGUUGCAAAAAAAGCAAACAUCAUUCUGGGAUGGAUUAGUAGGACUGUUGUAAGCAUGACACGAAUAGUAAUUCUUCUACUCUACUCUGCACUGAUAAGGCAUCAGCUGGAAUAUUGUGUCCAGUUCUGGGCACCACAUCUCAGGAAAGAUGUGGACAAAUUGGAGAAAGUCCCCAGGAGAGCAAGAA